AUUGAACGCUGGCGGCAGGCUUAACACAUGCAAGUCGAGCGGAGAUGAGGUGCUUGCACCUUAUCUUAGCGGCGGACGGGUGAGUAAUGCUUAGGAAUCUGCCUAUUAGUGGGGGACAACAUUCCGAAAGGAAUGCUAAUACCGCAUACGUCCUACGGGAGAAAGCAGUGGAUCUUCGGACCUUGCGCUAAUAGAUGAGCCUAAGGUGGAUUAGCUAGGUGGUGGGGUAGAGGCCUACCAAGGCGACGAUCUGUAGCGGGUCUGAGAGGAUGAUCCGCCACACUGGGACUGAGACACGGCCCAGACUCCUACGGGAGGCAGCAGUGGGGAAUAUUGGACAAUGGGGGGAACCCUGAUCCAGCCAUGCCGCGUGUGUGAAGAAGGCCUUAUGGUUGUAAAGCACUUUAAGCGAGGAGGAGGCUACUGAGACUAAUACUCUUGGAUAGUGGACGUUACUCGCAGAAUAAGCACCGGCUAACUCUGUGCCAGCCGCCGCAGUAAGAC
rnacentral:rRNA from 1 species